CCUACGGGGGGCAGCAGUGAGGAAUAUUGCACAAUGGGGGAAACCCUGAUGCAGCGACGCCGCGUGAGUGAAGAAGUAAUUCGUUAUGUAAAGCUCUAUCAGCAGGGAAGAAAAUGACGGUACCUGAGUAAGAAGCCCCGGCUAACUACGUGCCAGCAGCCGCGGUAUUACGUAGGGGGCAAGCUUUAUCCGGAUUUACUGGGUGGAAAGGGAGCGUAGACGGCAGUGCAAGUCUGGAGUGAAAGGCGGGGGCUCAACCCCCGGACUGCUCUGGAAACUGUACGGCUGGAGUGCAGGAGAGGUAAGUGGAAUUCCUAGUGUAGCGGUGAAAUGCGUAGAUAUUAGGAGGAACACCAGUGGCGAAGGCGGCUUACUGGACUGUAACUGACGUUGAGGCUCGAAAGCGUGGGGAGCAAACAGGAUUAGAUACCCCAGUAGUC
rnacentral:rRNA from 1 species